ACAAACAUCCUGCCCUGGAAUCUGGCAAAAGGCAGAGGGGAAGCCAGGCUUUUGAAGCAGAGCUGUAGGAGUUCUGCCACUUGCUCUGUGCAGAACGUCACUCGGGGCCGUGGGCAGACCUGGAUGGAUGAGUGCAUUCUUGAGGAGCCGAAACUGCCCUGCACACAUGCAAGACUCAUGCAGGACCCCGAGAACCCACCCGAUUCACC
rnacentral:lncRNA from 1 species